rnacentral:rRNA from 1 species
GAAUGCUGACAUAAGUAACGAUAAUGCGGGUGAAAAACCCGCACGCCGGAAGACCAAGGGUUCCUGUCCAACGUUAAUCGGGGCAGGGUGAGUCGACCCCUAAGGCGAGGCUGAAAAGCGUAGUCGAUGGGAAACAGGUUAAUAUUCCUGUACUUGGUGUUACUGCGAAGGGGGGACGGAGAAGGCUAGGCUAGCCGGGCGACGGUUGUCCCGGUUUAAGCAUGUAGGCGGAGUGACCAGGUAAAUCCGGUUGCUUAUCAACGCUGAGGUGUGAUGACGAGUCACUACGGUGAUGAAGUAGUUGAUGCCAUGCUUCCAGGAAAAGCCUCUAAGCAUCAGGUAACAUGAAAUCGUACCCCAAACCGACACAGGUGGUCAGGUAGAGAAUACUCAGGCGCUUGAGAGAACUCGGGUGAAGGAACUAGGCAAAAUGGUGCCGUAACUUCGGGAGAAG